UACAUAGGGUGCGAGCGUUGUCCGGAAUUAUUGGGCGUAAAGAGCUCGUAGGCGGUCUGUCGCGUCUGCUGUGAAAACCCGAGGCUCAACCUCGGGCCUGCAGUGGGUACGGGCAGACUAGAGUGCGGUAGGGGAGAAUGGAAUUCCUGGUGUAGCGGUGGAAUGCGCAGAUAUCAGGAGGAACACCGAUGGCGAAGGCAGUUCUCUGGGCCGUAACUGACGCUGAGGAGCGAAAGCGUGGGGAGCGAACAGG
rnacentral:rRNA from 1 species